rnacentral:rRNA from 1 species
GACGAACGCUGGCGGCGUGCCUAAUACAUGCAAGUCGAGCGAGCGGAACCAACAGAUUUACUUCGGUAAUGACGUUGGGAAAGCGAGCGGCGGAUGGGUGAGUAACACGUGGGGAACCUGCCCCUAAGUCUGGGAUACCAUUUGGAAACAGGUGCUAAUACCGGAUAAUAAAGCAGAUCGCAUGAUCAGCUUUUGAAAGGCGGCGUAAGCUGUCGCUAAGGGAUGGCCCCGCGGUGCAUUAGCUAGUUGGUAAGGUAACGGCUUACCAAGGCGACGAUGCAUAGCCGAGUUGAGAGACUGAUCGGCCACAUUGGGACUGAGACACGGCCCAAACUCCUACGGGAGGCAGCAGUAGGGAAUCUUCCACAAUGGACGCAAGUCUGAUGGAGCAACGCCGCGUGAGUGAAGAAGGUUUUCGGAUCGUAAAGCUCUGUUGUUGGUGAAGAAGGAUAGAGGUAGUAACUGGCCUUUAUUUGACGGUAAUCGAACCAGAAAGUCACGG